AUACGUAGGUGACAAGCGUUAUCCGGAUUUACUGGGCGUAAAGGGCGUGUAGGCGGUCUUGCAAGUAAGAAGUGAAAUUCCUGAGCUCAACUCGGGCGCUGCUUCUGAAACUGCAGGACUUGAGUGCUGGAGGGGAUAGCGGAAUUCCUAGUGGAGCGGUAAAAUGCGCAGAUAUUAGUAAGAACACCGGUCGCGUAGACGGCUAUCUGGACAGUAACUGGCGAUGAGGCGCGAAAUCGUGGGGACAAAACCGGUUUAUAUACCCUGGUAUUCCCCGCCGUAAACGGUGAAUACUAGUUGUAGGGGGUAUCGAGUCCCUCUGUGCCGCAGUUCACACAAUAACUAUUCCGCCUGGGGAGUACGGCAGCAAGGUUGAAACUCAAAGAAAGUGACGGGG
rnacentral:rRNA from 1 species